rnacentral:lncRNA from 1 species
AUUUAUCACAUCACUCGCAUACCCAGGCCGGCUGAUAUUUUAGGAGCGUGAAUCAGAGUGUCUGGCAUGGCUUCCUCUGCAGCCGAGCUCGUCUGCAAGCAUGAUGAAGUCGGGAGGGGGAAGAACUCCACUUAUCAGGGAGGAAAUUUGUGUCAGUGACAAGUCUGCCUGGCAACAGUGCUACGAAAGAGACACGCUAGGCCCCAACAUCGGGACCAAAAUCUUCACGCUGCUGGAGAGCGUCACGCUAAGCAGUUUUCCUCUUUGCUUCUCCUGGAUCUUCAGUCGCAGUGUAUCUGAAGCCACACCCACCGUGUAUCCCCGGCCCCCACCCAUGCGGCAGCACGUCACCGUCCAAUAGAGGGCACAACCGUGGGUCCAGGAAUCUGAACAGGAAGACUUGAAGGU